UGUUCUGCGGCCACAUACAACCACCACCCCCUCUCGUUCUCUCUCACUCGAUGUCCAGGUCGGACCGACUCCGGCCGUAUUCCUUCAAUGACGACGAUGAUGUUGAAGAUGGCGACAAGAUGUAGUUGAUGAUGAGGUGAUGGGGUGGCUGACGGCGGCACCGUCGGAGCCACAACAGCGGCGGCGGCGGCAGUGAAGUGGUCCUACGUAGACUCGGUUUCUGUUCAAGUUUUGGUCUCGGUUCAAGUGGUUCUGAUUUGGUUCGAGUUUUAACUCAGAUCCGGUGCAAGCCAGUUGUCGGUCAACAUUUAGGUUUCUAUUUCGGGUCAGAUUUUCACUCGUGUCUCGGUUCAACUUGGGUCACGACCGAGUCAACUCAGCUUGUGUUUGGUCAAGUCCAGUCAAAACAGCAGUCAACCCGGUGUUCGGGUCAACAGAGGUCAACGGCUCGGUUCACAGUUCGGGUCAGUCGCGGUCAACAGGUCAAAGCGGUCAACCCGGGUCAGACCCGGUCAACUCAGCGAGUCAACUCGGUUAACCCAGUUGACUCGGUCAACUCAGUUAGUGUUUUGACACGAGGAGAUGGAAUGCUUUAGUUGCACGCUAGCGAGUUCACAUUCUUGGAAUGACAUCACAGAA